rnacentral:ncRNA from 2 species
GCGAACCAUUCGCUCCGAUUCGACCGCCUCUAAGGUUCUCGGUCCCGCCUGGGACCGCGGGAUGAUGAGCGGCGAACGUCAGGGUGCCAGGGGAAACGCUGGUGCCUCCCGGUGGAAAGGAGACCGAAUGGCGGACCGCC